UCUCUCUUUUGCCACACCCCCCAUCCAUCCUAAACACCACCAUACCAUCUCCCAUCCAUUCCUCCAUACAAAUACCAUCUAAACCUGUCCCCAAAACCUUGUGCCGCAGCAAAGAGGAAGGAGGAGAAGCCUUGGAUUGCAUGCCAUUCAAGUCCGAGUUGCUGGAAGUUUUAGGUGUUUCCUUUCCUUUGAUUUCAAUGUUUAAAUUCUAUACUCUUUGUUUUGUACGUAUGAGGAACUAAACCCCGCCUUGACUAGGGGGGGUUCGAAACCAUGUUUAUGCUUGCUAUAUGAUUAGAUUACUUUCAAUUGCGUUUCAUAAGUUGUGAAUUCAAUUUACUUAUCUACAUGAAUUAAAACUGAUUUGUGUGUGUUGGUUGAGAGUGCACGCUUAAUUUUCAUGCAUAAGUUUGAUGCUAGGAUAUAAGGGAAUUUCACCUAAUCGUUAUGAACUUAUAUUCAAAAGUAGUAAAGGUUGUUGAUCACAAUCGUGUUAAGUAAAUUCUUGGCAUAAGUUUCAUGCAAUUCAUAGUAACGAGUGCCUCGCUAAUGCUUAUGAUUUUCAUAGAACUUAAUGAUCUUUGCUUGUAUCUUUGUUAUGCAAUUCAUGCAGGGAACUUGUGAGGAAUGUUUUGGGUUGUCGUAUGCAAUUCAUCCAAUUCGAUAACUUUAGGAAAAUAUGAGGGUUAAUUAGUGCAAUUCACGGUUAAUUUGGGGCGUUUGGAAUUCAUGGUUUAUUGAGAAGCAAUUGGAAAUCGUUUUGUAUGCAAGUUGACAUGUGUGGAGAAAGAACCCCUUAGCUAGCUUUCCAUCCAUUCACUUUAUCAAAUUUGUUUUAGAAUCUGUUCAAUUUACAAAGUUUGUUCUUGUUUUCAAUUUUCAUCAAAACUCAAUCCCCAUUUAUUUUGAAGUGUUAGAUUAGUUAGAAAUCAAUU
rnacentral:lncRNA from 1 species